UAAAUACAUAUUGAGUGGCACAUUCUUGUUUAGUAUACUUAUCUAUAACUUUACCAAAGUUAGUCCACAAAAAGGGGAUUACCGGGAAGUGAAUUAAUUGUGCAAUAAACAUUUUACAUCUGAAAUUAAUUAUACAAUGAUGACCAAGUUUUCAACCUGAGACCUGCUAAUGAUGAUACAUUGACUAGCUAGAGUUACCCUACAUUUUUUUCUUGAAAAAGUAAUAAUUUCAAUAUUUUAUUCAAAAAUGUUUAAAUAGUUUAAAAAUAUUAAAAAUAUUUUUGAUAAAAUUUGAAUUUGCUAGUAAGGGUAUAUUCGCGGUCAACUGAAGCAAUAAAAAAUAAAAAAAAAUUAUAAAAAUCUAAAAUAAAGUUUAUUAUUAAAAAUUUAAA